rnacentral:rRNA from 1 species
AGAGUUUGAUCAUGGCUCAGAUUGAACGCUGGCGGCAUGCCUAACACAUGCAAGUCGAACGGCAGCACAGUAUGUAGCAAUACAUAUGGGUGGCGAGUGGCGGACGGGUGCGUAAUAUGUAGGGAUCUGCCCUGAAGCGGGGGACAACCCGGGGAAACCCGGGCUAAUACCGCAUAAUACUCUACGGAGGAAAUCUGGCACGCAAGUGCUGGGGCUUUAGGAUGAACCUACAUCCGAUUAGCUAGUUGGUGAGGUAACUGCUCACCAAGGCGAUGAUCGGUAGCUGGUCUGAGAGGAUGACCAGCCACACUGGGACUGAGACACGGCCCAGACUCCUACGGGAGGCAGCAGUGGGGAAUAUUGGACAAUGGGGGAAACCCUGAUCCAGCAAUGCCGCGUGGGUGAAGAAGGCCUUCGGGUUGUAAAGCCCUUUAGGCGGGGAAGAAGUUUAUAGGGUGAUAAUCCCUAUAAGUUGACGGUACCCGCAGAAUAAGCACCGGCUAACUCUGUGCCAGCAGCCGCGGUAAUACAGAGGGUGCGAGCGUUAAUCGGAUUUACUGGGCGUAAAGGGCGCGUAGGUGGUAAGGCAAGUAAGAUGUGAAAGCCCUGGGCUUAACCUGGGAAGUGCAUCUUAAACUGCCUAACUAGAGUAUGGUAGAGGGUAGUGGAAUUUCCGGUGUAGCGGUGAAAUGCGUAGAGAUCGGAAGGAACGCCAGUGGUGAAGACGACUACCUGGACCAAUACUGACACUGAGGCGCGAAAGCGUGGGGAUCAAACAGGAUUAGAUACCCUAGUAGUCC